rnacentral:rRNA from 1 species
GACGAACGCUGGCGGCGUGCUUAACACAUGCAAGUCGAACGGAAAGGCCUCUUUCGGGGGGUACUCGAGUGGCGAACGGGUGAGUAACACGUGAGUAACCUGCCCUUGACUUUGGGAUAACUUCAGGAAACUGGGGCUAAUACCGGAUAGGAGCUCCUGCUGCAUGGUGGGGGUUGGAAAGUUUCGGCGGUUGGGGAUGGACUCGCGGCUUAUCAGCUUGUUGGUGGGGUAGUGGCUUACCAAGGCUUUGACGGGUAGCCGGCCUGAGAGGGUGACCGGCCACAUUGGGACUGAGAUACGGACCAGACUCCUACGGGAGGCAGCAGUGGGGAAUAUUGCACAAUGGGUGGAAGCCUGAUGCAGCAACGCCGUGUGCGGGAUGACGGCCUUCGGGUUGUAAACCGCUUUCGCUCAUGACGGAGCUUUGUGUGACGGUAGUGGGGAAAGAAGCACCGGCUAACUACGUG